rnacentral:lncRNA from 1 species
GGAGCUACCAUUUGAUUUUUAUGGGGGGCUAGGAUGAAAAAUUUUGUCCUGCAUUUUUUUUUAGCUGUAAUCUCUGUCCUGCCUUUUUAUUUUUCACUCUAAUCGGUCCUGCCUUUUUUUUUUUAGUUUAUCCUGACUUUUUUUUACCUAAAUUGUCGUCCUGACAUUUUUUUUUUUGCAAGUGUCACAUCCUGCCUUUUUUUUUACUCAAAACUCCUGUCCUGCCUAUUUUUUUCAAAUUUCAUCCUAGCCCCCCCCCCCCAUAAAAAUCAAAUGGUAGC